GUCGGGAGGAGGCGGCGGGAGACGCACUGAGGGUCUCCCAGCGCCCGUCCUGCGCCCCCGGCCCCUUUUCCUUGCCGGUCAACGCCUCCGGCCGUCCAGAGCGCCUUUGUCUCCUUCCUAGAGCCACUGGCUGAUGGGGCAGCGGGGGACGCGGACCCCGGCGCUGCGGUCCGCCAGGAGCGGCGCGGCCGGUGUGUCCCUGCUGCGAGAGCCACGGCAGCCGUGAGUUCCCAAGGUCACAGAGGCCUCGGUGAGCCGUGAGACCGCUCCUCACCACCCACACCUGGCCCUCGGCCCCGAGCGAAAAGUUGGUGCUGGUUCACGUGGGCCGAUGAGGUCCGGUGUCCAGCGGGUGAGAAAGAGCAGCGCCUUUCGUGUGGUCCCUGCCAGCUGGGUGAGCUGGAGACCUGUCUGGACAGCUGGAACUGUAGUGCAUGCAGAUCCCACUGUGAAUGCAGCAGAGGUAGAGCAGCAGACAAGAGUCACUCCACUUGUUUGCACUAGUGCAGCCACAGCAAAGAUGAAAGUCCCAGUGUUACAGCUUUUACCCAGGUUGCUGAAUUGUUGGCAUAUUUGGAAGAGAUGGAUGUCUCCAGUGACAUAUGGAUGUGCUGCACACAUUGCCUGUGCCCUGUGUAAGGCUGAGUGCUCAGAAGAAGCUCGGACAGCUUCCUUGCCCUGCCUGGCUCAGGAAAUGUGGACACAGAGCCAUGAGGAGUGAGAAGGACAUUGGGGUGAUGGAGAGAAAAGAGGACUGACCCACAUGGUGUGCAGGGAUAAGAGGUGCUGGCUACCUGUCGGUGUAAUGCUCUCAGGACUGUUCACAUAAAAUAACCCUGGGGCACCUUGUCUUGCUGAGGAAGCCAAAAGCCUUCUGAUCCCACAAACCAUGCCCUUUGCCAGCUCUGACCUUUGCUUACACCCUGAACUGCCAUCUGUGAGGACAGUUAUAUCCCAGACUGUCCUCCCUAUCUUAAAACAGCUGCUCCAUUUUAAAGAGAUUUUGGAAGCAUUUUUUUGUUCCUGCGUGUUGCACCCCAGAGGAGGAAGGUGUAACAAUUCUUUAUUUACAUUAGGCAACAAUUCCUAAAAAUUAUCAGUGCUCAAUUAUUGAAGCAGGGGGUUGCUUCUCAGAAUCACCAUUUGGCAAGCACCCAUGAAGAAGAGCUACCAGAGCUACCGGAAAGGGAUGGAGGAGAAGUACUGGACUACUUUGCUUGCUGUGGUAGGAACACACACUGGUGACGGAUUUUGAUCUGACUGGUAUGCAAGGAUGUCUACAUGUGUCUGAACCUGUGACAAUGACGUGGCUUCUGCCACCAGCCACAGCUGACAGCACUCUGGUGGGGGUGGAGGAUCAGGCUCAGUGAAUUCUUGUGUCUUUGCUGGAGAAGAGUUGUGGCUGAGAAGAAAUCAUUGUUAUGCCAACAAGAAUACUUGUUGAGUACAAACAGUUUCUGCAGUAGAGAAAAGUUUUUGCAGCCUCCCUGAAUUUUUAACAUAGCUGCAGCUUUUGCUCUUAAUAUAACAAGGCUUCCUAAAGUACAUGUUCUAAGUCACUAGCAGCUCAUUGGAAAUGCCAAAUAUCAAAUAAUUAAUAACAAAAUUGACUCCUAAAUUAAAGAAAAAUUUAGUGGUCCAGAAAUACUAUCAUUAAUCAUUCUGUAGAUCAAUGGAAAUCAAAAAUCAUGAAUUAGUCCUGUCCUGUUCCUCCCCUAAGCCACAGCUUAAAAAUCAGGAGUCAUAUUUUUGUGGUUAAAUCAGUCUGAAUUAUUUUGUUCGCUUUGUGGUAACUGGAGUCUGUAUCUCAUAGCUGGAUCAUGUUUUCAAUUAUGAUUUAAAGUUCCCACAACAUCUGCAGAUUUCCUGUUUAAGGAAAGCCAAGAUUCUCCCACACCUGACCCACUGUGGGUAAAGAAAUGAAUUUUGUUACUUUGCUAAAAGUGCAGGUGUUGGCAACUGUGAAUACAGGUGGUAUGUUUCAAAGAGGACAAUCAUCUACAGAAUCAAGUAAUACACUGGACUGACUGUGAAAUUUUAUCUUUACAUGCCUUUGAGUUACUUUUUUGUUUCCUAAAGCAUCUUGCCAGAUAAAUACUCUUUUUUUCCCCUUUGCAUUUUGGAUUUUGCCUCUUAAAUAUUGCUUCUACUGCUGUGCUUCAGGGACAAUUUUAAGUUCUUGGUACACCACAAUCCCCCAGGACUAAAGAUGAAGCUAAAAAUUCUGAUACAAAAGCAGAAAAGAGCCUGAGAGGUUUAUAAAAAGGCCAUAGGAAACCCAGCUUUAGUUGCAGCAGUAUUGUUAAAUUCAAGCCUCAAACAGAAGAAACAGCCUUUAGCAGAUGAUGCUCUAAUCUCCCUUUGGCAUCUCCCUGGUAGUUGCCAAUGCAGCCAUGUGCCCAUCUGAGAGCAAAUUUUCUAGGACAGCACUGGGAGAUUCAGAAGUGCCAUGCUGUGCCAGCCCACCUGGCUGCAAGCUGCACAGAAAUCCCUGGUUUGUCAGUCCAGGAGCCCAAAGUGACUGAAAGACCUUUCCAGAGCCACAAGCAUGAGAGCAUAAGCGAUUCCUAUGUCUGGAGAAGUGCAUUAAGAGAGAGAUGUUGAGGGAGCUGAGGUGCUAAGGAGUGAACUUCUGGGAAUGCUCUGCACAUGAAAACACUCCAUAAAUCACUUAUAAAUGGGACUGAGCUCUCAUCCAUCCAUCAGGAGCCUUCCUCGCUCCAAAAUUUGGGCUGCUCCCUAUCCUGUCUCAUAUAGGAGGUGAUAUUGAUGAGCAGAAAAAGGUAUGUUUGCUUCAAAUGUUGUUUUUGGAUAGAGAGCAUGGGUUGUGAAGGUGCAGAAGGAAACACAGGAACUGCCAUCACUGACAAAGAAAUGCAGAUUUCCAAACCAUCUCUGCCCAGCCCCAGGUGGGAGGUUUUGUUUCUGUGUUGGCUUGGAAUUUGUAAUUGGUCUUGUCAAAAGAUGAUGCCUGUGUUGGAAAUUAAUAUUUAGCAACUUCUGGUUGACUGAUUGAAGUUUUUUUGGUGGGAGUUAUUGGUUCUUUGAACAAAUUUUGAAAAAGGGCCCUCAUAGAAAUACAACCAUAUCAAAUUACAGGGAGGUGCUCUUGUGCCUUGCACUUGAGCCUUGCCAAGAGAGGUCAAAAAUGUGCACCUACAUUACUGAAAUGUUGCCGGGGUUUCCCCUGCAGACUGAAAAUACCUGCAAAGACAGAAGGUAUUUCAAAAGAUGAUGAUUUUAAUUAAGUCUGGGUCAGAGCCGCAUCUUUGAUAAUAACAGCACCCCGACCAGCAAAUGCCCUGAGCCUGAUUUACAGCACCAUCAGCAGGCUCUGCCUUGUGCCUCUUGUGGAGAGGCUAAGGGAGGGCACAAGGGGAGAAAACAGCAUU